CAGUAGCCGCGGUAAUACGUAGGGUGCAAGCGUUGUCCGGAAUUACUGGGCGUAAAGCGCACGUAGGCGGAUACUUAAGUCAGGGGUGAAAUCCCGGGGCUCAACCCCGGAACUGCCUUUGAUACUGGGUAUCUCGAGUCCGGAAGAGGUGAGUGGAAUUCCGAGUGUAGAGGUGAAAUUCGUAGAUAUUCGGAGGAACACCAGUGGCGAAGGCGGCUCACUGGUCCGGUACUGACGCUGAGGUGCGAAAGCGUGGGGAGCAAACAGGAUUAGAUACCCGUGUAGUCCCUGUCUCUUAUAC
rnacentral:rRNA from 1 species